GCAAGGUCAAAGGACCUUGGAGAAAAAAUUUCAGAAAAUUUAAAGACUUAAAAGUAUUUUUAAACAAUUAAAAAUAAUCACAAAAUCAAUUAAAUCAUGAAAAAUAUUAAUAAUGAUCCAAAAAGUAAUUUUAAUUCAGAAUAUGAAAGAGGAAAUUAUUUGAAUAUUUUUUUGUGAAAUUCUCAUAUUUUUUGGAUCAAUAUUAAAAUUAAUAUGAAUUAAUGAAAAUAAAAGGAAUAAAAGAAAAUCAGAAAAUAACAAAAA
rnacentral:lncRNA from 1 species